AAAAAGUAUGAAAAGAGAGAAGGUGAGCACUCCUCUUGACAAGGAUGGAAGAGGCUCUGUGGCCUGACAACACGCAUACAGUUAAGGCAUUGCUUGCUACCUACUUCAUGGCAUCUAACCACUGUUUUUA